AGUAUCACGCCGGAUGAACGGAAAUCAUUGAUGUUGAUUAACAUGGGAUAAGUAUUCUCUGAUACUA
rnacentral:tRNA from 1 species